rnacentral:snRNA from 1 species
GUGUUCACUUCAGUAGCAUAUAUAAUAAAAUUGGAAAGAUACAGAAAGAUACAUGGCCCCUGUCCAAUGAUGACACGAAAAUUCGUGAAGUGUUCUCAUUUUUU